CCUGUGUGUGCGUUUGUUGCUGUGACAACCCCAAAUGACGGAUUGGCAACAGGUGUGGGGGAUUUACUCAGAGAGUUUGCGUGAGGCCUCAUCAACAGUGGAGAGGAUAAAAAGCAAGAGAGAGAGGUGGUCGGUGUGGUUUUUCUCCCUUGUGAAAAGUCGUUUUAUUGGGUGGUAAUAGUUACUGGAGGACGGGUGAAUGAAGAGGAAAGUGUUGCUUUGAUGAGGGAUUCGAGGACAACAGAAGGAGAGUGAAAUACCCUGUUUGCAUUGGAGAGGAGCUAAGUAACUGAGAACUGAGUCUUGUAAUUGCACACGUUUGACACUGAAUUGGAUGUGGUUUGGAGUGUUUGGAUCACGAUCAUAAAUAUCACUGAGUGGAUUGUACUGAUUCAUUACCGAUCUCUUACCUCUCCCUCCUUUAUAAAUGGUGAUGUGAACUCUGCCUGUGACUGUGAAGAGCAACAUCUCAGAACAUCCUCAGUGGCAGUGAGGAUCGCGCCUUCCCCUCGGACCGAAACCCGAAUGAGAAGAGAUGCCCUGUUGAAAUAUUUACUAUCUGCCUCAGAAAAGCCCUGUGCAAUCUGUUUACUUCGAGUCUGCUGUAUCCCUGCCAUUCAACUGUAUGCCCACCUGAGCUGAGAGCAGUGGCUGUUCCCUCUGUCAUGAAUCUGAGGCUGGCAUGCUCUGUCUGGAAUAUCCACUCUGUCUGUGUCAGAAGAAGCCCCGUUCAGCCCGUUGACUUCGAGUCUGCUGUAUCCCUGCCAUUCAUCUGUAUUGUGAGAAGUGUUCGUUCCUUCCAACGCAUGUGAAUUGUAUACUUUGUCUGAAGCAUUCAUUCUGUCUGUGUCAGUAGAAACCCUGCACAGCCUGUUGACCUAGAGUUUGUUGCAUCCUUGUGGCCCACCUGUGCUGAGAGAGAUGACUGUCCUUUGUCACGAACGUGAGGCUGGCACGCUUUGUCUGGAAUAUCCACUCUGACGGUGUCAGGAGAAACCACCUUACUGUAAGACCGUGCACCUGCCGUAUACGUACUCGACUGAUAUCAUUCACCUCAAAUUCCGUACCUGUGGAAGAAGGAAGGCUGGAAUUACAUACUUACCGGAGGAGACUUACCGGACCCCUCACUUGCCAAACACAUCCCCACCUCAAGGCUGUGUAUCUGCCGUGUACGGACCUGACCGAUAUCCAUCCGUCCCAAAUUCUGCAUCUGUGAAAAAGGGAAGGAAGGUUGGAAGUAUUUAAUUAUCAGAGGAGACUUACCAGACUGUUGGCUUGCCGAUCGUAUCCCCACCUGUGAAAUACCUACUUGACCACCCAUCUGUCCAUCUAUUACGGGGCCCGCACAGAGGAAGAGGGCGGGAGAGUCCCCGGUCGCUGCACUGUUCACCUUCGAUUCCUGAGGGCAUCAAAGAUUUUAGAUUAGGAUUUCCAAUUUGCUUUUACUUCAAAAUAAAACUUGUUAAAUUUAUUCUCUGUCUCCGACUCUUCCCUCUGAUACGCUCCUCGAGGUGGUCCUGGUUUAGGGGUGGGCGCAGUCUAGCUUGGGCCUCCCGACCUGUGACUUAUUAUUAUUUUAUUUUUUUUUU
ensembl:lncRNA